UACGUAGGGUGCAAGCGUUAAUCGGAAUUACUGGGCGUAAAGCGUGCGCAGGCGGUGAUGUAAGACAGAUGUGAAAUCCCCGGGCUCAACCUGGGAACUGCAUUUGUGACUGCAUCGCUGGAGUGCGGCAGAGGGGGAUGGAAUUCCGCGUGUAGCAGUGAAAUGCGUAGAUAUGCGGAGGAACACCGAUGGCGAAGGCAAUCCCCUGGGCCUGCACUGACGCUCAUGCACGAAGCGUGGGGAGCAAACAGG
rnacentral:rRNA from 1 species